UACGAAGGGGGCUAGCGUUGUUCGGAAUUACUGGGCGUAAAGCGUAUGCAGGCGGAUCGUUAAGUCGGGGGUGAAAUCCCGAGGCUCAACCUCGGAACUGCCUUCGAUACUGGCGAUCUUCGAGUCCGGGAGAGGUGAGUGGAACUCCGAGUGUAGAGGUGAAAUUCGUAGAUAUUCGGAAGAACACCAGUGGCGAAGGCGGCUCACUGGCCCGGUACUGACGCUGAUGCGCGAAAGCGUGGGGAGCAAACGGG
rnacentral:rRNA from 1 species